rnacentral:lncRNA from 1 species
CCAUUUCACAAUCAUAAUUUUGACUUUACAUAUGUUAUUUGAACUUUUGCUUUUAGAUAGAACACAGAAUAUAGCCACACACUAAGAGAUCUCCCUUAGAUGUCAAGAUCAAUACUAGAUCAAACCUUUGAACCAGUUUUGGAGUGACAGAACCCACAAAUAUUUGGAGUGUUUCCAGCAGAAAAUAUUUUGGAAGAACAUAAAAGGUGUGUUUCAAAAAAGAUUUAUUUGAAAUGAUGUCUAUAAAAUGUUUUGCAAUUUUCAAAUUGUUGUACAAAAGUUUAUUGCUAUUAUUAUUUGAGAAAGAAUGAUUAUUAAAUUCUUCUCUGUGAGACCCAAGGCUACACAAUAUCAGAUACUUCCAAAUAAAUUCUAGUCAUGUCUCUAAUGACCAAAACAAGGCUAAAGAAAUUUGCAAGUUGAAGCUACUUCAGAAAUAGGGGAUUAAGGGGACGCAUGAGAUGAGAAACUGAAUUUUUUUUAAUAGUAGUUUUUUAUUUUCAAAAUACAUGUAAAGAUAGUUUUCAACAUUCAUCCUUGCAAAACUUUGUUAUUCCAAUUUUUUUCUCUCUCUUCCUCCCCGUCACAUUUCCCUUGACAGCAAAUAAUCCAAACAUGUUAAACAUGGGGACACUACAUUAAGGGAUGUGCAGCCCAGUCUCUGAAAAUUUUUUAGAGCAGAGAAGGGAGGAUAAUGAGACUUUGGCAGGAGCCUUAGAUGGAAUUAACUAGUAUAAGAAAUCAUCUGUCCAGGAGCUAAUUAGCAGUUGCCAGGCCAGUCAGUAUGAAAGCUGAAUUCCUUUUGACAAAUGGGGCUUACUCAGGAACUGGAAGCAGGCUUCAAGUAUUGCUCCUUUCUAGGGUUCCAUCUCCCAUACCCCGGGACAAGGGGGGGUACUUUUCACCUUUGAGCUCAGGUGUGUCCUCUGGUUUCUAACUCUACUCAUGAUCAAAGAUCACAAGAAAGAGAGGCAGGGGCCUCUAAGAGGCUACUCUGAAGGGGAAGGAAUAGUUCAGGAUCUACCACAUAGUAGCUCUUUGAAAAGAAGACACUCUUAAGAGGGAGAGGAUAGAGUGUCUACCUCCUCCAGACAGGGCACAUUCUCUUCCAAGAAGCAAACAACACUUUGACUAUAAACACAUGUAAAAGAGGUUGCCACAAGGGACCCUCUCCUAGAAAGGAAGAAAGUACAUUAUUUGGAGGAAUCUGAAACUUAUUGUACAGCCUUAAGAAGAAAGAUUGCUUCUCUCUACCAGAUGAAACCCUGACCAUUACCCCAACCUCUAACACAAGCAGAAGGAAUAUUGUACAGAACUCUCCUUAUCUCCAUGACACUCAAUAAAUUCUUGUCAUCACAUUUUAUCUCAGUUCACACUUCUGAGCCCUGGGGAACUGAGAGCAACGUGAGACUGUAAGAUAGAUGUAUUGUCACCCUCCCCAAAAGGGAAAGGUAUCUCUUGUCACUCUCACCAAGGAAUGUCUUCUUCUCCCUUAGGCUCAUAUUGGUCAACGCUCAUGAAAUUGGUUUAAAGAUAUUUCCCUCUUUCUCUCAAUUCUCAUUCACCAUCUCUGCUUGUCACUCUAGGCCAGUGCUCCUGGGCCUGCCUCUCACAGACUUUCUCCCUCUAUCCCUUGCUUUUUGUUAGAACCAUGUAUGGAGAGACACAGACAUCCUUCUACAGAGUAGAUACCUGAUUUUGAUCCAGAUUCAAGCCAAAAUUAUUUACAUGUAACGAGAGCCUAGCUUAUCUGCCUCUCAGUGCCUUCCUGAGUUUCCAUGGAAAAUUACUCUAGAUCAUUACUAGCAGCUGCCUGACCCAGAAUUAUAAGUGAUUCACCUGUACCAUUUACCUGAUUAACACAUCUCAUAUAAAAAUCAUUGAUUUUUUCUACUCUCCUCCCUCUCAUAAAGACUGAACCUCCAUAUCCCCAUUACAGACUUUGACCUAUGUUCUCAUUGCAUUUAAUAACUCCUAUGUUCCAUCACCAGUGUUCUAGUACAUAUCUCCUUUCUCCCCAUCUUCUGUUUCCUCCAAAUGUAAUGGAGAUCAUCAGACCAUGAUUUCUCACCUUUUUCAGUUCCUUCAGUAAUCCCAAAUUGAGAUAUGGCAGGUGAUGGUUUAUAAGAGAAUGAGAUAUAAGGGACUCAGAAGAAGAGAACAAUGUAAACCAGUUCACCAAGAAGUCUAGAUAGGGAAGGGAGGAGACUGUAAUUAGGAGAGGUGCGACUGCCUAGAAGAAACUGAAAGACUGAGAAACUGGGGGUCAUAAACUGGAUGUGGAACAGGGUUUGGGGGUUGUAAGGCAGAGAAGAAGAGAAGAAGUGGUGAUAGAUUGUGAUCAAAUAAAGGAAUUUUAAAAUUUGUGAACAAAGAAUUUGUAUACCUGCAGAUACAGCCAGAUCAAGGGUAUGAUCAUUUUUGUGGAUGGUUUAAUUAGUUAAAGGACUAAUUUGGUCAUGGGAAAUGAAUAAGUUGAGAAAUGAGGUAUGUAGGGCAUAUGAGGAACUAGCACUUUAUAUACUGGAGUUCCCCACUAUGAAAGCAGGAAGUGAGGAGAGAUAAUGAGCUAAAGACAGAACUCAGAACUAGAGUCUGUAAUCAACAGCUCCCAUAAAUGAGUGGGUGGUCGAUAUGGAUUGAGUGAACCUUAAAGGAGGAGAGAUUACUGAGUGAUAGUAGUAGAGAGAAAAUCUGGAGAUGGCAGUGAAUAUUACAACAAUCCCAUCUUGACCAGUAAGUUGAAGGAAAAAAAAGAAAAUUCAGCCAGGGUUGUUGUUAAGAGUAGCCAGGGAGUUCUGUUAUCAAGAGAAAGGCAGGUCUCAGUGAGAGUCAGGUGAUAGAAGGAGUGGGAAAGGAAAGGUUUGAAGAUGAAAGCCAGAUUGAUAUCUUUGGAGCAGGCAUAUCAGAGAACACAGCAGAAAGAGUGGAUUACUGUAGAAUAGGAGCUUGGAUGGGGUUGAGGGGAAUGGGAAUAAGGGAUCAUGAAGGGGGAGUAGAGACUGGGGUUUGCAUGAUGACCAGGGAUUUAGAGUCACUGAGAAGGGGAAGGGGAUAUGACCUGAGGGAGUUUGUUAUUAUUGAGGAAGGAGUUUAGGUAGAUUUUCAUUUUCCACUGGAGGGAAGGAAACAAGCAUUAAGUACCUACUCUCUGUGUCAGUCACUUUGCUAAGCACUUUGCAGUUAUCUAAUUUUGUCCUGGCAGCAACCCUAGGAAGAAAAUGCUAUCAUUAUCGCCAUUUUACAAUUGAGGAAACUGAGGCAGACAAAUCUUAAAUGACUUGUCCAGGUUCACAUAGUUAAUUUGUCUAAAGUUAGAUAAGAAUUCAAAAAAGUCUGUAUCUUCUUAGAAGACUUCAGAUCCUGUGCUCUAUUUACUAUACAACUUAGGUGUCUUAGUUAACACAAGAAGUUAGAUUCCUUUGGAUGGAAUCCUCUAAAAGAGGUUAGAAAAGGGGUGCUGGAAACUGAAAUAAUAAUAUUGUUCCCCUUUCCUAAAGAAGAAGACCAAGCUGAAGAUGUGGUAGAAUAGCUACCAGUGGAAAAACAAGUUUGGCCUCUUGAUCAUAAUAUCAUAAUUCUAGAGCCAUUAUCUUGUUUUUUGAAUCUCUUCUGUCAGUCAGUUAAAUUUGCUUCCUAUAUUCAAAGGAUACUCAGCAUAUUCUGGUCAUAUAGUAGUUAACUACAGCUAUAAAAAUGAAAAGAAAAGAAGUGCUUCUACAUGUAGCCUUUUAUCCCCAUCUCCCAUCUAAUCCCACACUCCCAGGUACUGAAUGAGAUUAAAAUCCAGUUUAUUCAGGAUUUUAGGGAAUGUAUGGGAAGUACCUUGGGAGAGAGCUACCUUCUCUUUCAUUUCAGCAACUAAUGGGAUUUUUAAUAGUUGCCAGGUCCAGCCACUCUAGUGUUGAUCUCUAUAUGCCUCAAGUUGAGGGAAACACUGGUCACAUUCCCAGCUCUUCCUUCCUUGUCCCCAACACCAGAAAGGAGCUUGGCCUAAAGCUCCAGCCCCACAGUUCCAGUCCUAAAAUAUCAAUCUGAUGACUAGGAAAGCUUAUGAUCCUUGCCCCGUGGGGUAGUUUCAAACCAAUGAUACAAUAGAGAUUGAUAUCUUUUAUCUAGAGAAACUAGGUUAAAAAUAAACUAACUUUACCCAUUAAAGAACAGUUUAAAUGGAACAGCAAAUUUUGGAUAUAAGUUUCAUCCCAAAAGAAUAGAAAGGAAGAGGGGAAUAAAGUGGGAGGAGAAAAAAAAGCAUUUCUUCAGCCACCUGGAUUCAUAACGGGGGAUAAGAGGACAUACAUGAAUGAUAAGACUUAUCUUCUAUUUUUGGUGCUGCCGUCCUAUCUACCCAGAGUUGAUGCAGACCUUGGUUGCCCUGGUGCCAUGCUCAACACCAUCUCUCCACCUCUGCCAGAGUCAGUGUCUGCCUUUUUAUCUCUUUCUUGAAACUCAUGGAAAGACUGAAAAGACUCAUGGAAACAUGUCUCAUUAUCAUGUUAGUUCUGAAUAUUUUCCUGGGUGGAAAAAUGAUAAAACUUUAUAUACCAAAAUUCUCAGAGAUGAUUUAAACUACUUCUCCUAGGAGAUUUCCACACUGUCCUCUUAGAGAGGGAUCAGAUAUAUCAUUACUUUUUGUUUAUUUGUUUGUUUUCCAGGGCCUAACUAAGAAUUGAGUAAGAGAAUCACUCUCUAAGAGCUAAGAAAGUUGGGAGAUUCUGGUCUUUUUCUUCCCUUUAUAGGGAAGGUUAUUACUUAACAAAUCCCAGCAACUAUUCUUGGCUCAUUUUCUUUGAAUCUUCUUUCUCUCCAUGUCUUCAUUAAUUCAUAUGGAGCCACUUUUUUGCUGUUUCUAAGACUUCAUAUAAUUGGAAAAGAUGAUCUCUGGAGUCUAUAUGAUCUAGAAAGCUUACAAAUAUGUGUGUGAGCAAGAGAAAUGAUUAUGGCUCUACAAUAUAAAUAACUACUUACAGUUGGGCAGAUCCAGGAUUUUUUUUCCUUUCUUAUUUCCUCAUGAAGAAAAUACAUUAUUUGGAGGAAUCUGAAACUUACUGUACAGCCUUAAGAAGAAAGAUUGUUUCUCUCUACCAGAUGAAACCCUGACUAUUACCCCAACCUCUAACACAAGCAGAAGGAAUAUUGUACAGAACUCUACUUACCUGCAUGACUCUCAAUAAAUUCUUGUCACCACAUUUUAUCUCAGUUCACACUUCUGAGCCCUGGGGAACUGAGAGCACCCAUGUGCUCAUCAGCUCAUGAAAAAUAGGUGUGAUAUUAAGAUUGAAUUUAACACAGAUGAGCAUAGAUAAUUUGGUCCUGAUGGCCCAAACUAGGGAAAGUUUGGGUGUAAGAGGGACAUGGUUAAAAUAAGGCGAAAUCCAUUUGCCAUUAUAAUGUUCAUUUUAUUCAUUAGUUGUUACUCAAUCAGAGUUGAUUGCCAUCUACAUGGAAUACUCACUUUACCAAGAGUAUAUAUAUCAGUGGGCUGCCAUGAUCCAUUUUUGGCUUACAAGAAACAGUCAAAUGACUAUUUUUUUUUCUUUUUUAAUUUUUA